GUAAUAUGCCAGAACUCUCCUCUCACACGCCACCUCUCGUUCACACGCGACCUCUCCCCACCCGAUGGCACGCCGCCGCCGCCGCUCCAUCCCCUCCCAGCGCAGCAGCUGCUCCGUCGUCUCUCCUCAGUAGGUUGUAGUGACUGGGAAAGGCGACGAGGGGUCGAGGCCAUUGGUGCUGGAUCUCCUGGCGGCGUACCGAUGGAUUCAGUCGAUGGGGAAAAGAACACCACCGCUGUGGCGAGGGCAAACCCUAGCGUGAUUCACGUGCUGAAGCUUUUGUGGUGAUGGGAUUAAUUAUGUGCAUUCAGUACCAACAAUGAAUGUUGAUGAAUCCACUGUAUAUUCUUGGAAUUAAGCGUCCUGUUCAGCAAUUCGUGUCAGAGAAGAGCCUUCACAUCUGAAAGUUGGUUUGUGAGAUUGCAACCGGUUUGAUGUGCCCUUGUGUUUGAACAGUACCUUUUCUUCAAUGGAGCUGUUACAGCUAAUCUGAGGAAGCUAGCAAAUAUUUUCUGUGGUGUAGCUCACCUCUUGUAGCAUGCUGUGGUGUUUUCUUCUUCAGCUUAACCUGUUCUGCCACUACUAAAUGGAGAGAGACAUUGUCAGUUCUCUUUCUACACAUCUAAUAGCUCUUUAUAUUGUUACUGAAAAGAGGUAGAUUGCAACUUCUCACGUUCAUGAUGAAAGAUGAAGUUGCUCUAGAGAUUUGAGUAUUCUAUUAAAUUAUGGGAUUUUGAAAUGGCCGGAGAAUAUUUUGUAACCUGCCUAAGUGUUAAGAAGAAAGUUAUGUACUUCAUUCUAAGAGAAACACAACAAUUUAUCAAUACAAUUAAACAAGUUCAAGUCAGUUGGUUCUUUCUUUUAAUUUUCUUCUGAUUGUUCUGGUCUAGAUUCCAAGUUGUUAGCCUUUGGUGAUUGCAAGUUUGUAUAUUUGCCAGAUUGGAUGUUUACCAAGGAUUCUUUCCAUGGGCAUUGGAAGGUAGGAAAUCACAGCUAUUCCUAUCAUAGACCAGGUAAUUUAUUGUACUGCAAAAACUAUCGAAUAAUCAUAGAACUGGAGGAAUAUGAGACAGUGUUGGUCCCUACUCUUUUCAACUCAUAUACAACUUCUUAUGUUCCCCUACAAUAGUUAAAUGUUUGCACCAAUGCUUCCUUUUGGAAUUUGAAGAGAUAUACUGUAUCAUGUUUAGAUCAUAUCAAGGGACUGUUUAUGUCUUGGUUUGUUACUCAUUUUCCAUAACUUAGUGUGUUUUGCCUCUCCUAUCAAUUCUCAGUGUUACAAAACUGACGCAUAAUAGUAUUGUUAGUAAAUACUCUUCUUGAGUAAAAUUAAUCAUAUAUUUGUUAAAUUGGCUGCAUCAAAAAACCAGUGAUUUUUCUAUUUAGCCGAGCUGUUAAAUGUGUUGGAUCGCAUGAGAAUUUUUGAUGUGUACAUACAACGCCUUAGUUUAAUGGUCUGCUGCAAGUGGGUAUAUUUUAAUUCUUUGCGGCACAGAGUAGCACACACAUACUUUCACAAUAAAAUUUUAAUUUUUUCAUCACUGUAAUUUUCUUAUCAUUUAUAUGAUUGGCGCAACAUGAGUUUACGUAGCGCGCAGCUAUUCAAUGCACAUUUCUAGAAACAAGCUUGCCAUGGACCAACUAUCCCACAGGUUAUGCACCGUAAGUUGUUGUUGAUGUUCAGUGAGCCAAGGUAUUCUUUCCUAUGAAGAGGGAAACACGACCUUCUGUUCAACUAUAUUGGAUUGCUCAAACUUCUUGCCGAUGACUUCAUAUAUGAGACUACGGCUAUAUGUGCGGGGAGUGCUCAAACUUCUUGCUGAUGACUUCAUAUAGGAGACUACGGCUAUAUGUGCGGACUUGAAAAUAACUAGCUAGAUGCUUAAACCAUAUUAUGACCAGCUGACAUGCAAGUCUGUAUCAACAGGUGGUUCUGCUCUUUAAAACCAUCUGUAAUGACUCCUAGACCCCUUCCAUUAGAAGUAGCAAGGACAAAACAACGACAACUCUGAAUCAUUUCAAAGAAUAUGGCUAUGAUGGGAAAGGUUGUUCUAAGAUAUGGAGACCAGUAGCACAUUGUCACCGUCGCCUAGCUAAGAUUUUGCAAUACACUGGAGAAAACGAGGAAGGCCGAUGCUCUUUAUUUUGUUUCACAUUGUCCUGGGAAUUACUAUAGAGUGUAACUAUAUUUACCUAUCAGAAUUUUUUUUUGAUGCUACCUGUUCAUUUUGCAUAUUGUUGUAAGUUUGAUCAUAAGCAGAUACGGACUAGAUUUCAUACUACAGUGCAAAUCUUGUGACUUUGAACAAAAGAAGCAUGCACAAUUAUACUAUUACACAACAUUGUAUUACAGGGCAAUUUCGCGUGCCAUUUUCUAUUACCACUAUUGAAAUGUACCUAUAUCUUAUGCCAUGAUUUUUAUACCUGCCUUCUUAUUUGUGUUGCUCUAUUGUUUCAUUUUGCUGCCGGGGUUUCUUAGUGUCUCGAAGUACCGUUUUACUAAGUUGUGCAACAAGCCCUAGCUUGCUAUUGGGAACUGCUGGUGCUUGCAUCUAUUUAUCUGACCCUAGGUCCAGGUACAUCUGCCUCUUGCCCGUGAAGACAAACUUGAUGCAGCUACUGACAUCUCCAGGCGUUGUGAUUAGCAUGCACCUGACCGGCGAGGAGGCGUCCCAAGAAAAGCUUCUGACGGUUGUGAAUGACAUGUUUCUCCACAUCAAAGGAAAAGGCAAGUCCGAGUCAGUUGAAUCUUCAAAUGGAGAGCCUGGUCCUCACACAUAAAGGCGAUGCUGCAUCGGAGUUCAUUAGACACAUAUUUAUUGUUCUUGCUCUUGAUCAGAAUGGUCAACAUGAUAUUCUUGCGAAUAUCUGUUGAACCAUACUCAACCUAUAGCUACUUUUUUUGGGUGUAUUUUACUUCAUACAUUCAUCUUACGUUUGUAGCUACACCAACACUCAUUCAAGAUAAUUGUGGUUAAGUUGUAAUUCAUUACUUGUUGAGUACUCGGUC